rnacentral:lncRNA from 1 species
UUGAAUGAGAGGAGUGCGGCUUGGCAGCAUGUAGAAGACGAAUCAGCGCCAUGAGAGGUCAAGAUCUUAACAGACAACCGGAGAAUAUGCAUGGCCUUACGUAAUCUGCAAACUAUCGAUGUGCGAAGGCUGCAUAAGGAGUCAAAUUGGUGCGUAAAUUGUUUUUCGACGAGAUCUGUGUAGGUGCACGACCAAAAAGUCGAAGAAAGGAGACACGAGUGGCUGGAGAAGAC